rnacentral:rRNA from 1 species
CAAUAGCGUAUAUUAAUGUUGUUGCAGUUAAAAAGCUCGUAGUUGGAUUUGUGGUUCGUCCUGCCGGCUGGGCCUUUUGGCCUUGGCUGUGCCGGUCGUCCAUCCUUGGGUGGAAUCUGUGUGGCAUUAGGUUGUCGCGCAGGGGAUGCCCAUCGUUUACUGUGAGAAAAUUAGAGUGUUCAAAGCAGGCUUAUGCCGUUGAAUAUGUUAGCAUGGAAUAAUAAUAUAGGACCUUGGUACUAUUUUGUUGGUUUGCGCACUAAGGUAAUGAUUAAUAGGGACAGUUGGGGGUAUUCGUAUUCCAUUGUAAGAGGUGAAAUUCUUGGAUUUUUGGAAGACGAACUACUGCGAAAGCAUUUACCAAGGUAUGUUUCUCCUAAACGAUCUAUAUGUGAUGGAUGCCUGAAGGCGUGCUCCUUGAAAUAAGAAAUGACGACGGACGUUUUACUCACCGUACACUUCUCUAUCUGUCUCGUGUUACCAAAGGAUGUUUUCAUUAA